CCCCCUCCUCUCUUUUUCUUUCUCUGUCUCUGUCGUCUCUCUCGCUGGCUUUUUAAAAAUGAGGAACCGUUCCUUGAACGUUCUGGACAGAGCACAGAAUUGCUUCUUAAGUCAGCCCGACGCGGUUGCAAUAGACAGCAAAAAGGUAAACGUUUGCCUGAAAUCCGCACGCCAGCUCCACCACCCCGCCCGAUGGUGUCUGAGUGUAGAGAAAAGCGGAUAGAGAAGCCUGGUUGCUGUUUGCCCUAAAGCUUCAUCGGAUGGGGAACUGAAUGUUUUCUUCCAGGCAUCCCCAAUCAGAACUUGUAAGUGAUCGGGCAUCACUGAUCUCAAGCAUGCAGGAGAUAUCAGGAUUUUAAUUUCGACUCCGAGUCCUUGCCAUUGCCAACGAUGAAGUCUACUACUCCUAAUCAUCGAAAAUGCUGUUGUCUGGCUCUACAUCCAGCGCGGAGCCCAGUGCGGAGCUUGAACUCACAAUCGUGAGAUCAAGACCUGAGCUGAGAUCGAGUCGGUUGCUAACCAACCGAGCCACCCAGGGCCCCGCUGGUGGGGAUUUUAAUGGGAACGUAUCCUACAUGGACCUUGGUACUCAGAGAGUAGUCCUCAAAUUAAAGUGGAGCUUCGGGGCAGAGCAUAGGGACAAACUAACUUACUUGAGGGGUCACAAAAAAGAGAUUGAUGAUCAAUGUGAUAGAUUGAGCCCCCAUGGUAGGUUGUAUUCUGAAUUAAAUGAAUGUGCUGAAGCAAAGAGAACAUGACUCAGUGAUUGGCAUCAUGGGUUCUAGACCCACUUCGGACACGAAUUAGCUCUAGAACUUCCUGGGACAUGAACUGGCUCUAGACCCACCUCGGACACGAACUAGCUCUCAGGCCUUUCAGGGCCUCAGUUCCGUCCUCUGUAAAGCAAGAAGUUGGGAUGAAGGUUCUAAAGUUCCUCCCAGCUUUCACCGUCUCUGCAAUGUUCAGUCAGUGGUCGCUCUGUGCACGCACUUAGUGAGGAGGAAUCAUUAGCAGGUGACCGAAUUAGGAUUAGAAUGCCUUUGGGUCAUUGUCGAGUUUUGGGACAUGAACUGGGCGCUUAGCACAAAAUGAGGGCCCAUCAGUGCUUUUAUAAUAAAUCCGUUUUUAUGGUGACGCCUAAGUGAAAUUCUAUUUUGGAGAACUGUUCUUGGUCCCGCCCAAUGGCUGUGAGUGGAUGUGGGAAGAGCACCAGAGGAAUGUUCUUUGUCUCACGACUUGGGGAAUGUUCUUUCGUUAGCGGUUCGGACACUGAUAGGGUUUCUUCAGAGCCUUGUCUACACCUGCAUAAGGAUGAAAAAAAAAAAAUGCAAGCCACACAUCACCAGGAAUCCAUGGCUGUGCCUGGCAGUGUAAUUGGGAAAAGUUUGGAAUGUUAGUGGACAUUCCUAGGAGCAGCUUUAUUUCCCGCACCUGCAGCAAUGCGCUGACAUUAAACACACAGGGACCAAGUGCAUGUGUGUAAGGCGCAGUGGUUUACAGAUGUGAAAAAUGGAUGGAUGAGGACUUGGGAUGAGAUUCUCCCAGGACUCCAGUGUGCUGAGGUUGGGAAAUGCUCAGGCGGGCACCUUCCAGGCACGGUUGGCUGUGCUACUAAUAAGGUUACUGCUGGGGCCUGAUUUCAUUCCAUGAAAUCUUUUCACCAUCAGGAUGAAGAAAAUUAUUUUUCACCGUUCCCCAAAUGGAAACAUUUUCAGGUCAGUGGGCCCUGGUGUGCCCGACGCCCAGCAUCUCCAUCAGAUACAGCUUUGAUGGUGUACCAUCUUCAUGGUGAGGCCUCGUCCACAGCCAUGGACUUUCAGGCGGGUUUGCUGCUCGGCUGCUGACCUUUCUCUGAAAAGAAGAGCUAAAAGAGUUUCUAUUAUCUGUGCUCUGACAUCACGGUGGUGCCUUGCAGAGUAUGUUGUGCGCAGAACCUCAUUCAAUCCUGACGCCAACCCCAGAAGACGUGUGCUUUCGUUACCCUCACCUUACAGAUGAGAAAAUGCAGAUAGAAGGAGGUUGGUUAAGUGACUUCCCCGAGGUCACAACCAGUAAGUGGCAAAGCGGGAAGUAGACCCCGGGCUCAACUACAGAGCUCGCAACUUGAUUGCCAGGCUUUAGAACUGCUACCCUAGCAGUGAAGGCAGGAUUGCUCCGGGAGGAGGUCAGGAGAGGCCGGCAGACAGAGCGAGGCGGCUGGGUGUCCACUGCAGUGGCCAGUGGGAGAACAGGAGGGCCACACCGGGCUGCGUCCGUGCAGUGCAGAGGGGGUGUGUGUGGGUUACACGGAGGACGACCCUUCUUCGUGGAAUGUGCCUGCCACCGGAGUUUCCUCUUGCUCGUUUGAAUUCUCAGGGCACAUCAUGUCUCUUGCCCAGGGCUUGCUUUUGCCAUGCCCCAUAACAGCUGUGCACAUCUUACGGCCUCUUGUCUAGUUCAAGUUUGUAAGGGGCAGGAGGAAUCAUGCUUUAUUUGCCUUAAUUUUAUCUUUGCAUUGCUGAGCACCGUGCUUUGGUAAACGAAUGAAUUCCCCAAAUUAUCUUUUGCAGAUCAUUUCUCCUUCUGUAUGCAUUUGCGAAGUCCGUGGCAGGUUAAACAGUUUUUCUUUUCAAAUAUGAAAAUAAUUUCUUUACACGAUCUACUUUAAACUAUUUGAAAAUAUGAGGGAGAGGAAGACAGGGAAGCUGUUUAAAAGCAGCAAAACCCUUUAAGAGUCAAUGUCACAUUUAUUGUUAUAAAAUAUUUUUCUCUCUCUGUUAGACAUCUGGUUCCCAUUACGUACAGUAUUGGGUACUUGAGUUCACCAGGCAUUUUGCAUACCAAGCAGUGUGCAUGUGAAAUCCCCCUGACAUCCGCCAGUUCAUAUUUGCACCAUGCAAGUCCUACUUUACAUUUGCAGACAACCCUUCCAUCACCAACUUAAUUCUUCCCAAUAUGCUUUCGAGGUUAUUUUGUUCAUCCUUAGCUUGAGGACCAAAUUGCCUACAUCUGAGAAAUGAAGGACUUAAUCAUGGAGUCUUUGCUUUAUGUCCCUAUAUGGUCCAACUAUCUAUAAGCUCACACCGAAGUCAAUGAAACAUCUAAAUCUUAAAUCUAUAUUUCCCAGUAACAUUGACCCAGAAAUGAGAAACACAAUAUGGAAUGUUUGCUAAUGAGUCAUGAAUUUCAUUAUAAUUGCUUCCACAUUCAGGAUAGCGCCCUUAAACCAUCUAAUCUUGACAUAUCCUGCAACAAUCCCAUGUGUUGUAAAUGGUUUUGUUUUAUUCCUUAGGUUACUGUUAAGGGCUUAUUUUAUGCUUCAUUUCAUUUUCUUAAAGAAAGCCACACACAUGUGUGUGCACACUCACUCUCUUGGAUGUGCACGCAUGCCCGUGUGCGCACCCACACGACUCGGAGGCUUAUUGCCUCGAUCUGUUUUUUUUUUUUUUUUUUGAAAUAAGAUAAUUAUGAAAGCAAAAGGAGCCCUCAUCCACAUUUGGGAAGAGAGCUGCAAUAUGGUCUAUCAUGGAGUUCCAAGUUAGGUCUCUGAGAAUUAAGGCCAGAAUCGAGCAGGGCCUCGGCCGGCAGCCGGCUGUCCCCUCGCUCUCUGCACAGAAGAGUCUAUGAACGGACGGACCCGGCUAGCAUUCAGUACAGUAAUAAUGGAAAAUUAAAUAUGACUUUUAAAAACUGCUCACAUUAUAAAGUGAUCUAUUAGCAUUAUAUGACUUUGGCACUUAAAGUGACUGAUUCUAAUUGUACGAUUUGGCCCAUGGCAAGCAUUAAAGAGCUACAGAAUCUUGUAGGUUUUUUUUUUUUUUUUUUUAAUCUCUUUUGGGAUAUUUUUAAGUGGAUUUUUUUUUUCCUUUGGAAUAAAGCUUUGUUCCUGCCACAGAAAAGGUUAUGUGGAAGAAAUCUCUCAGUCCUGAUAGAGCCAGAGCUUGGGGAUGUUAUCCUGAAAAAGUAAAGAUGGAUGGCCUUCCCUGAUGAGCUUUUCUAGCAAUCAGACAGGCAUUCUUUCCCUGCACCUGGUGAUCAUAGUGUAUCCUGCCGAAUCUUUUCUGCACGAGCCCGUGGGUUGCUAAGAUGACGUUGCAUGCCAUACCUUGAGCUGAACUUAAUUUAAGCAAGUUAGCACAAAACGAGGACAACUUCUGUGCAGGUCUGCUUCUUAGAGAUACUUACCAAAGUGUUUGCAAUUUUCAGAAAAAGAGGGAUGAAUAUGGGGGAAUGUCAUUCAUCUUUGAAUGAGACUUUAUGUUUAUGAUAUGUACAGGCUUUUUCUUAAUUCUCAUGGUAUGGACUGCAGGAAGCUUACUAACUGAAUAGUAUUGGAAACGGCAGCUUUUUAUGCUGACAGGGUCCUUUUUGAACUUACAUGUUUAAGCCAAACUGAAGUUUUACCUUAAUCUACGUGCCUAUGAAUUUCUUGUUGGCGGUUUUUGGAUUUCUCAAUUGCCGAAAAAUUGCCUACUGUGCUUCAGAGAGUUUUGAUAUAAUGACCCACAUUAUUAUCCAUAUAACCAACAGUGGGCUCUUGAACACAUAAUUUAAAAACUCCAGCAACACUGUUAAAGUGUAAACACCAGCCUUAUUUAUUUGAAACAUCUCUUUCUGAAAUUGGACCUUCUUUUUUUUUUUUUUAAGAUAAUGCUAAAGUAGAAAGAAGUUUAAAGACACUCUGGCUUCUUGUGAGUUUUCCACUAACAAUUCCCUAUAGCUUGCAAUAGCUCUCUUUCUUCCACAACCUGGAAUCUGCAGAAGAGAGCAGAAAUACUUGUUAUUGACCUGAAUUAGGAUAAAAGGAAAAGAGAAGAUAAGAUCAUAGCCGUCGGCAUUUUGUUUAUGAAAACAUCAUUUUGAGGAUGUGCUUGAAUCAGGCAAAAGUAAUGCACCUCCCUCCUCUUCCAGCAUUUUUGAAAUGCCAGCCUGAUAAGACUUAGAGAACAAUGCCCAGAAUUAGGGCAUUACCUUUCCUGUAUGCUAGUGUUGUGCACGAGAGUGUCAUUUAAUCAUGAUGGUUUUUCUUUGUUAUUUUAGAAAUACAUACGAAAAUAAAAAAAAUUAGAAAAUAAAAAUAUA